UUGCUGGAACGCGCUUCGGCGCACCCAGAAACCCUUUGUGAACUUAUACCUACUGUUGCCUCGGCGCAGGCCGGCCUCUUGUGACAGAGGCCCCCUGGAGACAGGGAGCAGCCCGCCGGCGGCCAACUAAACUCUUGUUUCUAUAGUGAAUCUCUGAGUAAAAACAUAAAUGAAUCAAAACUUUCAACAACGGAUCUCUUGGUUCUGGCAUCGAUGAAGAACGCAGCGAAAUGCGAUAAGUAAUGUGAAUUGCAGAAUUCAGUGAAUCAUCGAAUCUUUGAACGCACAUUGCGCCCUCUGGUAUUCCGGAGGGCAUGCCUGUUCGAGCGUCAUUUCAACCCUCAAGCCUGGCUUGGUGAUGGGGCACUGCUCCCUAGCGGGAGCAGGCCCUGAAAUCUAGUGGCGAGCUCGCCAGGACCCCGAGCGUAGUAGUUAUAUCUCGUUCUGGAAGGCCCUGGCGGUGCCCUGCCGUUAAACCCCCAACUUCUGAAAAUUUGACCUCGGAUCAGGUAGGAAUACCCGCUGAACUUAAGCAUAUCAAUAAGCGGAGGAAAAGAAACCAACAGGGAUUGCCCUAGUAACGGCGAGUGAAGCGGCAACAGCUCAAAUUUGAAAUCUGGCUUCG
rnacentral:rRNA from 1 species